rnacentral:rRNA from 1 species
UACGUAGGCAGCGAGCGUUGUUCGGAGUUACUGGGCGUAAAGGGUGUGUAGGCGGUUGUUUAAGUUUGGUGUGAAAUCUCCCGGCUCAACUGGGAGGGUGCGCCGAAUACUGAGCGACUAGAGUGCGGGAGAGGAAAGUGGAAUUCCUGGUGUAGCGGUGAAAUGCGUAGAUAUCAGGAGGAACACCAAUGGCGAAGGCAGCACUCUGGGACGUGACUGACGCUGAGACGCGAAAGCGUGGGGAGCAAACAGG